rnacentral:rRNA from 1 species
UCCGGAUAAUCAAGGCUGAGGUGUGAUGACGAGGCACUACGGUGCUGAAGUAACAAAUGCCCUGCUUCCAGGAAAAGCCUCUAAGCAUCAGGUAACAUCAAAUCGUACCCCAAACCGACACAGGUGGUCAGGUAGAGAAUACCAAGGCGCUUGAGAGAACUCGGGUGAAGGAACUAGGCAAAAUGGUGCCGUAACUUCGGGAGAAGGCACGCUGGUGUGUAGGUGAAGCCCCUGCGGGUGGAGCUGAGACCAGUCGAAGAUACCAGCUGGCUGCAACUGUUUAUUAAAAACACAGCACUGUGCAAACACGAAAGUGGACGUAUACGGUGUGACGCCUGCCCGGUGCCGGAAGGUUAAUUGAUGGGGUUAUCCGUAAGGAGAAGCUCUUGAUCGAAGCCCCGGUAAACGGCGGCCGUAACUAUAACGGUCCUAAGGUAGCGAAAUUCCUUGUCGGGUAAGUUCCGACCUGCACGAAUGGCGUAAUGAUGGCCAGGCUGUCUCCACCCGAGACUCAGUGAAAUUGAACUCGCUGUGAAGAUGCAGUGUACCCGCGGCAAGACGGAAAGACCCCGUGAACCUUUACUAUAGCUUGACACUGAACAUUGAGCCUUGAUGUGUAGGAUAGGUGGGAGGCUUUGAAGCGUGGACGCCAGUCUGCGUGGAGCCAACCUUGAAAUACCACCCUUUAAUGUUUGAUGUUCUAACGUUGGCCCCUGACCGGGGUUGCGGACAGUGUCUGGUGGGUAGUUUGACUGGGGCGGUCUCCUCCCAAAGCGUAACGGAGGAGCACGAAGGUUAGCUAAUCCUGGUCGGACAUCAGGAGGUUAGUGCAAUGGCAUAAGCUAGCUUGACUGCGAGCGUGACGGCGCGAGCAGGUGCGAAAGCAGGUCAUAGUGAUCCGGUGGUUCUGAAUGGAAGGGCCAUCGCUCAACGGAUAAAAGGUACUCCGGGGAUAACAGGCUGAUACCGCCCAAGAGUUCAUAUCGACGGCGGUGUUUGGCACCUCGAUGUCGGCUCAUCACAUCCUGGGGCUGAAGUAGGUCCCAAGGGUAUGGCUGUUCGCCAUUUAAAGUGGUACGCGAGCUGGGUUUAGAACGUCGUGAGACAGUUCGGUCCCUAUCUGCCGUGGGCGCUGGAGAAUUGAGGGGGGCUGCUCCUAGUACGAGAGGACCGGAGUGGACGCAUCACUGGUGUUCGGGUUGUCAUGCCAAUGGCACUGCCCGGUAGCUAAAUGCGGAAGAGAUAAGUGCUGAAAGCAUCUAAGCACGAAACUUGCCCCGAGAUGAGUUCUCCCUGAGACUAUAAGUCUCCUGAAGGAACGUUAAAGACGAUGACGUUGAUAGGCCGGGUGUGUAAGCGCAGCGAUGCGUUGAGCUAACCGGUACUAAUGAACCGUGAGGCUUAACCUUACAACGCCGAAG